rnacentral:lncRNA from 7 species
AAUAAACCCUAUUGUGUGUAUGGGGGACCCCAAAAACCCCAUUAAAUGUAUGGGGACCCCAAUAAAUCCCAUUUGUGUGUAUAUGGGGGACCCCAAAAACCCCAUUAAAUGUAUGGGGGACCCCAAUAAAUCCCAUUGGGUGUAUGGGGGACCCCAAAAAACCCCACACUGUGUGUAUACGGGGGACCCCAAAAACCCCAUUUGUGUGUAUGGGGGACCCCCAAAAACCCCAUUAAAUGUAUAUGGGGGACCCCAAAAACCCCAUUAAAUGUAUGGGGGACCCCAAUAAAUCCCAUUGUGUGUAAAGGGGGGCCCAAAAACCCCAUUAAAUGUAUGGGGGGACCCCAAAAACCCCAUUGUGUGUAUGGGGACCCCAAAAACCCCAUUAAAUGUAUAUGGGGGACCCCAAAAACCCCAUUGUGUGUAUGGGGGACCCCCCCAAAAGUGACCCCAUUAAAUGUCGCCGUUUGGGGUCGGGGGGGACCCCAAAAAGCCAUAAAAGCCCCCCAAUAAAUCCCAUUGAC